ACAUCUAUGGUGAAAUGGUAUCAUGCAUCGUUGCCAUCGAUGCGGUGGGGGUUCGAUUCCCCCUGGAUGUA
rfam:Trichosporon asahii var. asahii CBS 8904 unplaced genomic scaffold scaffold00066, whole genome shotgun sequence.